GGAUUAGAUACCCUGGUAGUCCACGCAGUAAACGGUGAUCACUAGGUGUAGCGGGUAUUGACCCCUGCUGUGCCGCAGCAAACGCAUUAAGUGAUCCGCCUGGGGAGUACGAUCGCAAGAUUAAAACUCAAAGGAAUUGACGGGGGCCCGCACAAGCGGUGGAGCAUGUGGUUUAAUUCGACGCAACGCGAAGAACCUUACCUGGAUUUGACAUCUCGGGAAUCCUAUCGAAAGACUGGAGUGCCCUUCGGGGAGCCCGAUGACAGGUGCUGCAUGGCUGUCGUCAGCUCGUGCCG
rnacentral:rRNA from 1 species